rnacentral:lncRNA from 1 species
AGUGUUUGAGGAGCACAGAACUCUUAGUUCCCCAGUCAGUAUCUUCCAGGUGAUCUUACAUUUGUCUUUUUAAAGGCUCCCAAAUUCAUGUUUCUUAAUAUAAAACAAACAAGAUGAUCUGCUUAGCUUUGAAGACUUAAAGGCAAUCAUUUCCCUCCCUAUUUGCACCCAGAUAGGCAAUUUUUAACUCAAGGGAAAAGAAUAUUUGCAAAACACAAGAGAAGGACAAAUGUUUUGAGGGGAGUGAAGGGGUGGAAACUUUUUCUAAAGUAUGUGCUAAACUCUUUCACUAUUUAAUAGAUAAGAAUGAAUACUGCUGUUUAACUAGAUCCAGUCUCUGAAAUAUCUAAUUAAAACUGAUGUGCUUAUUUAGUUUCCAAUUCAUCACAGGUGGGCCCACAUUAAUGUGAAAAUGAGAGUAAAUUACCAGCAUUUGGCAAUCUCACUGAAUGUCAUUCACAUUAUUAGCUCAAAGCUCAAAAUGCAUUUUAAAAUGUGGUUCAUAGGUAGGGCACCGACUCUCCAAGCAAAGAAAAGCCACUGGUGGGCUGCUGGAAUUUCACAUUAGUGGAGGGGGCCCCAAAAGGCAAAGCCCACCUACUCAAAACCCCUCCCCUGUGAUCGGGGGAAGGUACCCACAGAGGGUGAUGGGAAGGAAUUUCCCUCCCUUCCCAGUCUUCAUAUCUCCCAGGAAUGACUGUUUAGUUUGGCCCAAGUCUCUUCUACCUUGUCAACCAGAACUUUAUCUAAAAUUCAGUACAUCCCACCUUACAGGGGGGCUUCUCUUCUAGCCGUCUGCAUGCCAUCUGUGGAGAAGGCCACAUCUCACUGCAAAUGAGACCUUCAGGCUUUCUCUUUUCACAUCUGCAAAGUGUAAAGUCAUCUUCCAUCUAAUUUAUCCAUGGGAGGCUCUUUACAACAGUGUGUGCUGACAUGCAUUCUCGAACCAACCUUCCUUCCUUCCUUCUCUUCCCUUCCCUCCCUCCCUCCUUCCUUCCUUUCCUCUGCACCCACAACGUACAGAAGUUCUGGGCCAGGCAGGGAAUGAACUGUCACCCCAGCAGUGACAACGCUGGAUCCUUAACCACUAGACCACCAGGAAGCCCUAGAACAUUUCACAGAUUACAAUCUUCAAGGCCGAUAGAACAACAUUCAGCUUUGUUCAUUCCACACAACUUGCAGUGACUGAUUCCAAAACUACUUUUGUUUUCGACUUUUUCUACAGCUUCCAAACCCUCAUGGAAGAUAAUUCCUCUCACCCUUAAAGCAGCAACUGUUACAGGCUAAUUUAUAAGCAGAAUAAAUUAUUUCUGGGCCAUGGAAAGGAGCUCAAGAAAGCUGUUGCUUUCAACAUAACUCACACAUUCAUAACCCCUUUAUUGGCUUUUAAUGCUCAAAGUCCUAUAUGGAAAUGUAUUCUUUUAGCUUAAAGUUCUGAAUCCUUCAGAACGAAAAUUCAGCUUCCUUGAAUAUGAAAGACCAAUAAAAAGAUGAUAUGGUGCUUAAACUCCGUAGGAGUCUGGCUGAUAACAAAUUAAAGCAAUGAUAAAAUAUCCAUAUUCACCUACCAGCUUGAUAAAAGUUUAUGAAAUUAAGAACAUGCUGUGCUAGCGUGAGAAAGUGGACAGACCUCUUCUACAGCAAUGGGAGUAUGAACUGCUACAAACUUUUCAUAAAAAUAAUCUUGCAAAUUUUAUGUCAUGUAUUUUAUCACAAUUAACCAUUUUAAUAAUAAUAAUAGUAAUAAUCUAGCAGUAGCUAUUACAAUUAAAUAUACCCAAACCCACUGGCUCAUCUCCAUCUUUCCACCUUUGGGAAUCUAACCAACAGAAAUCAAUACACUAGUACACAAGGCUAUGUGUAACAAAAAAACCUUUUAAUUGCAGCAUGAUUUGUGAUGGGGUGGGGAGGUGGAUAGAAGACUACAUUACGGUUUAUCUAUACUAUGGAAAGUUACAUAUUUUUACAUUGGUUAUUUAUAAUUCAUCAAUCUGAAAAAAAAAAUCCAUGAAACACAUAGUUAAGUGAGAAAAAAAGUUGUGGACUACUAUGAAUAAGAGGCACAACAGUGCAGUGGUUCAGAGCUUGGACUCUGAGCUAGAUUUUUUUUGUAGCCUGAAUUUUUAGUAGUGUGACCUUAGAUAAGGUUCUUAAUCUCUCCAAAACUCAGUAUCCUCAUCUAUAGAAUGGGAAUGAAAAAAAUAAUAGUGGUGAUACCAUCCAUAUCACAGGGUUGGAUUAAAUACUAACAAAGAAGGGAUAUAAAUGGUAUAUUGAAAGCCAUAAAGUAUGCAUUCAAUUAAUGCAUUAAGUCCCUUGUCCUUGAAAGUCCUCACAAGGAGAAAGCCUAAGGACCAUCAAAAAUAGUUUGAAAAGAAAUGGGCACAGUCUUGAGGUUAGAAAAUACAGCCUUUAAUCUCUGUUCAGCUGGUUGAUGACUGUAUAAGCCUGAGUGAGUAUGUGAUUAUUUUGAGCUUCAUUUCCAUACCUCAUAGCAGUUUUUGUAAGGAUUAAACCCGAUACAUGCAAUGCGCAUAGUGGGGUGUGUGUGUCUGUGUGUGUCUGUGUGUGUGUCUGUGUGUCUGUGUGUUUGCCUUGCCCCAAAGAUGGUCUUCAAAAAUUUGACACUUCAUCUUGCAUAGAUAUCACCUAACUGGAAUGAUCCUUGCUUGUGGGCACAUAAUAGGUACUUAAUAAACAUAAAUUUUAAUUCCCUUACUUCCCUCAUUUAAUCAAAAAUUAUUUUUGAGUAUUUAAUAUGAGCUCAGUGCUAUACUUUCCUUGAUGGGAAGGGAUAGUUGUGAUACUCAGGUAAAUAAAAGAAAAAAAAAAAUUUGUCCAAAGGCAAUUUUCACUACACUGCAAUUAUUCCUAAGGACAGUGCCCUAUAUCCAUUGAUUGAGAGCAAAAUCAAAACAAAACAAAAUCCUCAGUUCUUCCCAGCAGUGUUAUUUUAAGUGCUAAGUUUCUGUCCUAAAAUACCACAGCAUACCAAACAAGAAAUUGGGGGGCGGUGGGGGGGGGGUUGUGGAGAUACAGUAAAAUCUGCAAUCAAAGGAGGGCAGCAGAAAGGCUCAGUGUGGGUCUCUGCAGCGGGGAUGACAUUGAGGCUGCAGGCAAGGGGAGGCAGCACCUGCAUUGAAGAGACUGAAUCCCCUGGGGGUUCAGGUCCCCACGCCCUCCUCUUCUCUGGAUUUCUGUUUCCUCAACAGUAAAUGAAGGCACUGAGAGGCCACCUCACCUGCAAGGGCCCUUCUCCCCAAACACCCAGCUUCUCCAAAGGCCAGUCAAAUCUGUCUCAGGGUUCUUUUGAGAGUAAAUUUUAAGAGGACAGGAAUGGGGGACAAAGAAAUUCUGCACGAAGUUACAGGAGGGGAGAACAACACCUCCUGGAAAGACCUGAAUUUGAACCAUUCCCACAAGUGAAGCCACCUGUCUCCAAGGUGACUAAACUAAACAUGCUUUAGUCAGAAUGAAAUGUCUUCCCUCCACACAGGCAAAACAGGGCUCCUCAACCAAGCUAGCACUAACAGAAUUUGUGAUUGCUAGAAAAUAGGACCGCUGCACUCAAAAAAGAAAGAAAGAAAGAAAGAAAGAAAGAAAGAAAGAAAGAAAGAAAGAAAGAAAGAAAGAAAGAAAGAAAGAAAGAAAGAAAGAGAAAAGAAAGGAAAAGAAAAGAAAAGAGAAAAGAAAAGAAAAAAUGAAAGAAAGAAAAGAAAAAAUGAUUAUUUUACUAACUUGGAAGUUGUUUUUUUGUUUGUUUGUUCGUUUUUUCUCAGGUACUGGGAAAACCAGGGCAGUUGUGAUGGAACCAAGUUCCUCUUAACCUUUGACCAAUCACCCUUAGAAUGAGUUUGUCACCUCACAGUCAGGAGACAGCUGCUACAACUCUAGCCAUGACACCUAUACUCUGCUGGAAGAAAGGAAGGCAAAGUGAUCAACUUAUCCAGUUUGCCUAAGACUGUCUGGACUUUAAGACUAAAAGUCCCACAAUUCCAGGCAAACCAGGACAAUUGCUCCCCCCAAAUAGAAGGUAAUACCAGCUGGGUCUGUCCCAGUGUUUUAAGAAUCUUUCCCAGAAGUCCUACGCAAACAACUUCUGCUCAGAUCUCUUUGUCUAGAACUUAGUCACAUGGCACCCAUUUGCUAAGACGCUGGGACAUACACAUGGCCCUUAACUGAACUUUGUGCCCUGGUAAGAAAAGAGGAGCUAGAUACUGGACAGGCAGUCUCUUUCCCACUUAGUGAGCCUGGAAUGGAGUUUCCGUCGUGGCUCAGUGGUUAACAAAUCUGACUAGGAACCAUGAGGUUGCAGGUUCAAUCCCUGGCCUUGCUCAGUGGGUUAAGGAUCUGGCACUGCCGUGAGCUGUGGUGUAGGUCGCAGAGGUGGCUUGGAUCUGGCAUUGCUGUGGCUGUGCCUGUGGCUGCCGGCUACAGCUCCAAUUAGACCCCUAGCCUGGGAACCUCCAUAUGCCGCAGGAGUGGCCCUAGAAAAG